UACGUAGGGUGCGAGCGUUAAUCGGAAUUACUGGGCGUAAAGCGUGCGCAGGCGGUUCGUUGUGUCGGCGGUGAAAGCCCCGGGCUUAACCUGGGAAUGGCCGUUGAAACUGGCGAACUGGAGUGUGGCAGAGGGGGGUGGAAUUCCGCGUGUAGCAGUGAAAUGCGUAGAGAUGCGGAGGAACACCGAUGGCGAAGGCAGCCCCCUGGGCUAACACUGACGCUCAGGCACGAAAGCGUGGGGAGCAAACAGA
rnacentral:rRNA from 1 species